rnacentral:rRNA from 1 species
GACGAACGCUGGCGGCGUGCUUAACACAUGCAAGUCGAACGGUGAAGCGCCUUCCUUUUUGGUGGGUGUGGAUGCGUGGCGAACGGGUGAGUAACACGUGAGUAACCUGCCCCCUUCUUCUGCAUAACCGCAUGAAAGUGAGGCUCAUAUGGGAUAUUCUGGUUCUUUCGCAUGGUGGGUCUGGGGCAGCUAUUGUUUUGGUGGGUGAUGGUCCCUCGGCUUAUCAGUUUGUUGGUGUGACGAUGGCCUACGAAGGCGGUGACGGGUGGCCGGCCGGGGGGGGUGGACGGUCACAGUGGGAGUGAGGGCCGACCCAGACUCCUAAGGGAGGCAGCAGUGGGGAAGAUUGCUCGAUGGGAGCAAGCCUGAUGCAGCGACGGCGCGUGAGGGAUGGUUGCGGUCGGGUUGUGUACCUCUUUCGCCAGUGAAGCGGGUCUGCCUGGAUUGUGGGUGGGUUGACGGUAGCUGGAUAAGAAGCGCCGGCUAACUACGUA